CUCUGUGACAUCAAACUCACUGCCACUUCUCGUAGAAUACUUCUACCACAAACCACCGGCGUUUGUAACAAUAUACCAGACGACUACAUCUGUUUUACCACAUGUUGAAGCAAGACUUCUGCUGUUUGUUCCAGACCAGGACUCUGUCUGAGGAGAGCAGAUGGAGGAGCUGAGAUGCUGGAGGACAACUAGGAAUCGACCAACAAGGAUUCUUCAACGUGUUUCUGGAGCGGAGGCCAGCUGGUAGGGGAGCCGUGAAUCUGGAGGAUGACCAUCACUCUACCAACAAGGAUUACUUUAGGGCCAGACUCGCGCUGUUUGUUCCAGACCAGGACUCUGGCUGAGGAGAGCUGAUGGAGGAGCCAAGACUCUGUAGGACGACAUCACUCCACCAACCAGGAUCCUCAGACAAAUUACGUUUGUAACCAGACCAGGAAUCUGGAGGACUGACGGAGAAGCUGUACAUCUGGAAGGCAAAUCCUGAGGACGAUCAGGACUCUACCAUCAAGGAUUCCUCACACACAUGAGCUGAACCUCACCUGAUCCUGUUUGGUCGGGGGCAGACGCACCUGAGCUGAACCCACCUGAUCCGGACAUCCUGCUGGUCCCGUCUCCUCAGUUCAUCUGAGCCUCUUCCUCCAGAAGACAUGCUGCGCUCGGCGGUCUGAGGCUGAUGUAUCAAUGACCUCCAGUGGGAGUGAUCUUCUUGACCCCACAUGUAGCCGUGUGCUUCCACACGCCUUUCCCUCACGUCUGUCACUAACCUCAUUACUUCAC